AGAUUCAUGCAUACCAAGAAAUUGUGAAAAUUCCCAAGAAAGCAAGAAACACAACUGUGAAAGUAUCAAACUGAUGGAUGCAAUAAACUCAGUA